rnacentral:rRNA from 1 species
GAUGAACGCUGGCGGCGUGCCUAAUACAUGCAAGUCGAGCGAACAGACGAGGAGCUUGCUCCUCUGACGUUAGCGGCGGACGGGUGAGUAACACGUGGAUAACCUACCUAUAAGACUGGGAUAACUUCGGGAAACCGGAGCUAAUACCGGAUAAUAUAUUGAACCGCAUGGUUCAAUAGUGAAAGACGGUUUUGCUGUCACUUAUAGAUGGAUCCGCGCCGCAUUAGCUAGUUGGUAAGGUAACGGCUUACCAAGGCAACGAUGCGUAGCCGACCUGAGAGGGUGAUCGGCCACACUGGAACUGAGACACGGUCCAGACUCCUACGAGAGGCAGCAGUAGGGAAUCUUCCGCAAUGGGCGAAAGCCUGACGGAGCAACGCCGCGUGAGUGAUGAGGGUCUUCGGAUCGUAAAACUCUGUUAUUAGGGAAGAACAAAUGUGUAAGUAGCUAUGCACGUCUUGACGGUACCUAAUCAGAAAGCCACGGCUAACUACGUG